rnacentral:rRNA from 1 species
AUGGAUUUCGUGGAGGGGUUGCCGAAGUCUGAAGGCGCCGACGCAAUCAUGGUCGUCGUCGAUCGGCUGACCAAGUACGCGCACUUCGUGCCGCUUCAUCAUCCCUUCACCGCCGUUCAGGUCGCACGCGCCUUCUGGGAGCACAUCAUCAAGCUCCACGGCAUUCCCCAUUCAAUCGUCUCCGACCGUGACAAGAUCUUCACAAGCAUGAUGUGGCGCGAAUUGCUCGCCGCCGCGGGAACCAAGCUACUCUACUCCAUUGCGUACCACCCCUAG